rnacentral:rRNA from 1 species
CGGGACGGGGUGAGUAAUGUCUGGGAAACUGCCUGAUGGAGGGGGGUAACUACUGGAAACGGUAGCUAAUACCGCAUAACGUCGCAAGACCAAGAGGGGGACCUUCGGGCCUCUUGCCAUCGGAUGUGCCCAGAUGGGAUUAGCUAGUAGGUGGGGUAACGGCUCACCUAGGCGACGAUCCCUAGCUGGUCUGAGAGGAUGACCAGCCACACUGGAACUGAGACACGGUCCAG